rnacentral:rRNA from 1 species
GACGUAGGGCGCGAGCGUUGUCCGGAUUUAUUGGGCGUAAAGAGCUCGUAGGCGGCUUGUUGCGUCGACCGUGAAAACCCGGGGCUCAACUUCGGGCUUGCGGUCGAUACGGGCGGGCUAGAGUUCGGUAGGGGAGACUGGAAUUCCUGGUGUAGCGGUGAAAUGCGCAGAUAUCAGGAGGAACACCGGUGGCGAAGGCGGGUCUCUGGGCCGAUACUGACGCUGGGGAGCGAAAGCGUGGGGAGCGAACAGG